GCUGGGCACGCUGGCGCAUGCCUGUGAUCCUAGUGGCUCCAGAGGUUGAGACAGGAGAUUUGUGGGUUCAAAGCCAGCCUCGCAAUGGCGAGGUGCUCAACAACUCAAUGAGACCCUGUCUCUA
rnacentral:sRNA from 1 species